UGGGGAAUAUUGCGCAAUGGGCGAAAGCCUGACGCAGCAACGCCGCGUGAGUGAUGAAGGCCUUCGGGUCGUAAAGCUCUGUCGGAGGGAACGAAUGCUCCUGAAGUUAACAGCCUCAGGAGGUGACGGUACCCUCAAAGGAAGCACCGGCUAACUCUGUGCCAGCAGCCGCGGUAAUACGAAGGGGGCUAGCGUUGUUCGGAAUUACUGGGCGUAAAGCGCACGUAGGCGGAUUGAUAAGUUAGAGGUGAAAUCCCGGGGCUCAACCUCGGAACUGCCUUUGAUACUGUUAGUCUCGAGUCCGAUAGAGGUGAGUGGAAUUCCUAGUGUAGAGGUGAAAUUCGUAGAUAUUAGGAAGAACACCAGUGGCGAAGGCGGCUCACUGGAUCGGUACUGACGCUGAGGUGCGAAAGCGUGGGGAGCAAACAGGAUUAGAUACCCAUGUAGUCCCUGAGCGGGCUGGCAAGGCGCAU
rnacentral:rRNA from 1 species